GUGGGGAAUAUUGGGCAAUGGGCGAAAGCCUGACCCAGCAACGCCGCGUGAAGGAAGAAGGUCUUCGGAUUGUAAACUUCUGUCAUUGGGGACGAAGGAAGUGACGGUACCCGAUGAGGAAGCCCCGGCUAACUACGUGCCAGCAGCCGCGGUAAUACGUAGGGGGCGAGCGUUGUCCGGAAUUACUGGGCGUAAAGGGUGCGUAGGCGGCGAUGCAAGUCCAUUGUGAAAAGCCCGGGCUUAACCUGGGAGGUGCAGUGGAAACUGUAUGGCUUGAGUGCAGGAGAGGAAAGUGGAAUUCCUAGUGUAGCGGUGAAAUGCGUAGAUAUUAGGAGGAACACCAGUGGCGAAGGCGGCUUUCUGGACUGUAACUGACGCUGAGGCACGAAAGCGUGGGGAGCAAACAGGAUUAGAAACCCGAGUAGUCC
rnacentral:rRNA from 1 species